UUCUCUACCGAUCGAAUCGUAACUGAAGGAUUCGCCCAUGGACCAUGGGUAUAUAUGGAGAACCCUGGAGCAGCCCCCUCCACCAACUCGUGACAAUACCCAGUGUAUCCUAGGGCGCAGCAAGCGAGAGAGAGAGAUCGGAGCCGAGAGAGGAGGGAUAAGAGAUGGCGCCGCCGUGGUCCCGCUCCUCCAUCGUCGUUCUGUGCGUAUGGUGUGGUCGAGGAUGAUCGCCGGUGCGCGUGCAAACUUUCCGUGGCGUUGGUGGGCGAGAUAGGGCCUCAGGUCACUGGCGAUUGCUCGCCGGAAUACAAACUCAACGGAAGAUCUGCGUCGCACCGUGGACAGCACUGCGUCCACCGCCACCCUCGAAGCGAGGUUACGAGGAACCCGAAGAUCAAAUUGGAGAAGUUCCUGGAUUUGCACCAAAAAGGCAAGUUGUGUCCUUGAUCACAUUCUUUGACCUAAUAAUAUUUAUGAAUCUAUUCUCACUGCUGCACUGUUAGGUUAAGCUGAUGGGACCUAAUAGGUUACCUAGUUUUGUUUACCCUACACUUUGCAUACAAAUGAAUUAUUGGGUAGUCUUGUUAUUGCUCUACCUGGUUUUGGGAUUAAUAAUACUUAUGAAUUAUGAUCAUGUUUCAUUAUGAUAUAUUGCAGGAUUAUUUAUUAUUGUGCAUAAUAAGAUCACAAUGUUUAAUUGGAACAUGGAGCUUAACCUGAGAAAACAGUGCUACCACAAGGGUUUAAUGGGACGCCCUUGGCUAAUUAAUUAGGAAAGCUAGUGUGGGAUAAUCCUUUCUCGAAAGGGGCAAGCGGGGAGGCGUCGCUGCAGAGUAUAGUGCUGGCUGUAAUUACUGCGAUGGGGUUACAGACCGUGGAACAAGGCGCUAUGCUUCCUUCGUCCUGAAACCAUAGCGGGUUUUCUCAUGCUAGUGGAACUUUGUAAAGGCCUCGCAGUGGAUCCCUAGCCAUUCACCUUAAAAGUGUCUAAGGGUCUAGCUAACCCUGGCUACACGGGAAACACGUCUUGUGGGUAAAGAUGCGCAACCUCUGCAGAGUGUAAAACUGGUAUAUCAGCCGUGCUCACGGUCAGGAGCGGCUCAGGACUCUCGCAUGAUUAACUUAUGGAAUUAAACUUAACAUGUCAUGCAUUGCAUUGUGAGAUUUAUUAUUCAUUAUGAUCAAUUAUUUAAUUAGGUUGGUAUACACUUAUACUUGGUAACCGCUAAUAAAAUUUUGACCAACUUAUUAAAAGCAAUGCUCAGCCUUAACCAUUUUUUGUUGAUCAGCCUUAUACUACACAUGAGCCCCCACCGUAAGUGAGCUCAUACACAUUAUUCCCCACACUUGCUGAGCGAUGACCGUAUGGGAGCUCACCCUUGCUAUAAUCACACCAGGUUAAGAACAGGUGCAUCCAGAAGAGGAGGAUCAUGAUGAAGAUGAGUUCGGAGAGGUCUAGGCCGUCGUCUCCCAGUCAACUAUGUUGGUGUGGAGGAUCGUCGUUAACAUGUGGUGUAUCUUAUUUAGUUAUUUUGUAAAGAAACUCCGAUUAUUUAAUAAAGAUAUAACAUUGAUUUC